CGUGAAACCGAUAAGGUGGAAACGGAUAGAGCCGACGUAUCUAGCCUGUAUUCAGCUGUUGGUUGGUGUCAACUGUCUUAGUCGGUCCUGCAUUUUGGCUGGCUGAGGUGAGACUGACACAGAUUGGCAGUGCAUUUGCAGGUGGAGUGCGCUGGGGAGUACAGUUCGGUGGCCGGACACCUGUUCUGAGGUCUCAGCUUCGGCUGUGGUGCCCGGAUAGGACAAAGGCUGUUCGUUGUGUAUUUUGUUGCAGUGAGUAUGGCCUACGAGUCGGCCUGGUUGUCUGCUCGGCGACAGUUAAGUAGUCGCAUGCGAAUGCUUCUGUUUGCUUGGUAGACUACUGGUGCAGGCUCACUUACUCGCCUUCGGUGUAAGAGUUGGUCAUCUAUCCGACCCGUCUUGAAACACGGACCAAGGAGUUUAGCGUGUACGCGAGUCAUUGGGUGUUGAAAACUCAAAGGCGUAAUGAAAGUAAAGGCUGCCCUUGUGGAGCUGAUAUGCGAUCCUGAGUGUUUGGGCGCUGAGGAGCAGCAUAGCCCCAUCCUAAUUGCUUGCAAUGGGGUGGAGGUAGAGCGUAUUCGCUGAGACCCGAAAGAUGGUGAACUAUGCCUGAGCAGGAUGAAGCCAGAGGAAACUCUGGUGGAAGUCCGAAGCGGUUCUGACGUGCAAAUCGAUCGUCUGACUUGG
rnacentral:rRNA from 1 species